rnacentral:rRNA from 1 species
AGACUAGAACGUUGAUAGGCAGGGUGUGUAAGCGUUGUGAGGCGUUGAGCUAACCUGUACUAAUUGCCCGUGAGGCUUAACCAU